rfam:Canis lupus familiaris chromosome 5, whole genome shotgun sequence.
AGCUUUGCACAAGUGGCAGUAUCAUAGCCAACGAGGUUUAUCUGAGGUGCGAUUAUUGCUAAUUGAAAAAUAGCAAUUAGCUAGUAAAAAUAUUAUUAGAAAUAUUCUCAAAUUCACUUUUUAAAACAUCAGAUU